UAGAUGCUCAUAUUCCAAGGAUCACUUUAUGAAAAUGAUCGGAUCUUUACCUUACCUUGUGCACUACCCCUUCGGAUGGUACGAGAAAGGUAAACGUGCAAGUCUCAUUUGGAUUAUAUAUCCGAGACAUGGGGUGGUUCAUUCCUAACACGGGAUCCCCUAAAUGGCAUUCCCUUUCUAGGGUUUAUGCAUGAUGCCAUUUUAUUAAAGCGAUAUAAACAUGUGACAAACAUGGCCUAAAGGAUAUGAAUAAUGCAUCGGGGGAAAAGGUCUAAAAUGACAUGUACUUAUCGAAAAUUCAAUGUAAUGACUGAAAUUUAAACAUGUGAGCUAUCUAGUGGGUAAGUCACUAAAAGAGUGCCAAAGAGGCCUCUUAUUGCUAAGGCAUAUGAAUGCAAGCCAAGAAAACACAAGAAUGGUUAGUGCAAUUGAUAAUACACAUAACACAUUGGGAGCAAUUAAGAAAAAGAAAUACAAUAAAGCAAGUAAAAGGGGUGGAACCCCCUCCCUCGUGCCUAAUGUGCUUAAAAGGGUGAGGCUGACUCUAACCUAGGCAAACUUUAACAUGGAUGCAUGAGGCUGGGGCUCACUAAUGCAACUAGACUCGAUAAGGUUUCGGCUCCCAAGCCUUCAGACCUAAAGGCGAAGGGUCAUCACUCCCAGGGCCUUUGAUCGGUGGCUCGAGUGAUCCCUUAGG
rnacentral:lncRNA from 1 species